rnacentral:misc_RNA from 1 species
GAUGAAGAACGUAGCGAAAUGCGAUAAGUAAUGUGAAUUGCAGAAUUCAGUGAAUCAUCGAAUCUUUGAAUGCACAUUGCGCCCCUUGGUAUUCCGAGGGGCAUGCCUGUUCGAGCGUCAUUAUAACCCCUCAAGCUCAGCUUGGUGUUGGGGCCUGCUGCACUGGCAGCCCUUAAAAUCAGUGGCGGCGCCAUCUGGCUCUAAGCGUAGUAAUUCUUCUCGCUAUGGAGUCCUGGUGGAUGCUUGCCAUCAACCCCCAAUUUUUCUAUGGUUGACCUCGGAUCAGGUAGGGAUACCCGCUGAACUUAAGCAUAUCAAUAGCGGAGGA